UGCCCUAGUAACGGCGAGUGAAGCGGCAACAGCUCAAAUUUGAAAUCUGGCUCUUUCAGAGUCCGAGUUGUAAUUUGCAGAGGGCGCUUUGGCAUUGGCAGCGGUCCAAGUUCUUUGGAACAGGACGUCACAGAGGGUGAGAAUCCCGUACGUGGUCGCUAGCCUUUGCCGUGUAAAGCCCCUUCGACGAGUCGAGUUGUUUGGGAAUGCAGCUCUAAAUGGGAGGUAAAUUUCUUCUAAAGCUAAAUACUGGCCAGAGACCGAUAGCGCACAAGUAGAGUGAUCGAAAGAUGAAAAGCACUUUGGAAAGAGAGUCAAAUAGCACGUGAAAUUGUUGAAAGGGAAGCGCUUGCAGCCAGACUUGCCUGUAGUUGCUUAUCUGGACUUUUGUCCAGUGCACUCUUCUGCGGGCAGGCCAGCAUCAGUUUGGGCGGUUGGAUAAAGGUCUCUGUCAUGUACCUCUCUUCGGGGAGGCCUUAUAGGGGAGACGACAUGCAACCAGCCUGGACUGAGGUCCGCGCAUUUGCUAGGAUGCUGGCGUAAUGGCUGUAAGCGGCCCGUCUUGAAACACGGACCAAGGAGUCUAACAUCUAUGCGAGUGUUUGGGUGUCAAGCCCAGACGCGUAAUGAAAGUGAACGGAGGUGGGAACCCUUUGGGUGCACCAUCGACCGAUCCUGAUGUCUUCGGAAGGAUUUGAGUAAGAGCAUGGCUGUUGGGACCCGAAAGAUGGUGAACUAUGCUUGAAUAGGGUGAAGCCAGAGGAAACUCUGGUGGAGGCUCGCAGCGGUUCUGACG
rnacentral:rRNA from 1 species